rnacentral:misc_RNA from 1 species
UUUCCGUAGGUGAACCUGCGGAAGGAUCAUUAUUGAAUGAACUUGGUGUGGUUGUUGCUGGCCCCCCCUCAAGGGGGCAUGUGCACGCCCGCCAUCCUCAUCUCUUCACCCUGUGCACCUCUUGUAGGCUUGGAUAGAUUUUUUUUCCGAGGCAACUCGGUCGGGAGGAAUGCUGUGCGCAAGCCGGCUUUCUUUGCAAUUUUUCCAAGUCUAUGUUUUUCAUAUACCCCAUUAGUACGUAACAGAAUGUCAUUGGGCGCUUAGCGCCUAUAAAGUUUAUACAACUUUCAGCAACGGAUCUCUUGGCUCUC